rnacentral:rRNA from 1 species
UACGGAGGGAGCUAGCGUUGUUCGGAAUUACUGGGCGUAAAGCGCGCGUAGGCGGCUUUGUAAGUUAGAGGUGAAAGCCCGGGGCUCAACCCCGGAACUGCCUUUAAGACUGCAUCGCUUGAAUCCGGGAGAGGUGAGUGGAAUUCCGAGUGUAGAGGUGAAAUUCGAAGAUAUUCGGAAGAACACCAGUGGCGAAGGCGGCUCACUGGACCGGUAUUGACGCUGAUGUGCGAAAGCGUGGGGAGCAAACAGG